rnacentral:rRNA from 1 species
GACGAACCGUGCAAACGUUAUUCGGAAUCACUGGGCAUAAAGGGCGCGUAGGCGGCUCGAAAAGUCAGGGGUGAAAUCCGGCAGCUUAACUGUCGCAGUGCCUUUGAUACUGUCGAGCUCGAGGGAGGUAGGGGUCUGUGGAACUUCCGGUGGAGCGGUGAAAUGCGUUGAUAUCGGAAGGAACGCCGGUGGCGAAAGCGACGGACUGGAUCUCUUCUGACGCUGAGGCGCGAAAGCCAGGGGAGCAAGCGGG